rnacentral:lncRNA from 1 species
CUAAGCUCAAUCUCCCUACCCAAAUACCCAUUACCCUUUGCCCUACUCCUACAUAUAAAAAGACAUUUUAACCACCACAAAAAUCAGACCCCUUACCCUGAAAAAGACAUAACAACGGCGCAUUCAUGACUUCUUCUUCUUCUCCUCCAUUUUUCAUUUUAUAGACACUCCUCAGUCCCUGAUAAAAAGAAAAGAAAAACCACACCUGAACCCCUCCCUCAUCUCACUCAUCUGCACCUCACUCUCCCUUUCACAUAUAUAAAAAAUCAAAACAAAAAAAAAAACUUUUAGAUUCGAAAAUGGCGUCCCAAAUCAGAAAAUCCGAAAAUAAAAAAUGAAAAAAAAACUGGAAUUUUCAACGGAGAUUUGGAGAAGAACUGAUUUCAGAGCAAGAUUUCCUUUCUUUCCGGAUUUCUGAAAGUGGAUCCGGAGCCGUGGGUUUGCCGUUUGAUUUCCGCUAAUUUUUCUGUUUAUUUUUCUGGAAUUGCUGAGCGUUGUUCUUCAAGUUUCUGUGCCUUUAUUUGGCCAUUUCAGUUUAUUCCAAGCAUAGGUAAACAUCAUAAACUUGUAUGACUUUGGGUUUUUGCAUAAUAAAAAUUCUAUGUUUCCUUCUAUGAAUUCCAUUUUUGUAUGACUGUGUUCAUCUAACUUGUUAUGUUUAAGUAUGUUGCAAGGUGUUUGAAAAAUGCUCAAGUGUUAACAACAAAGUAGUUUAAAUCCAAUGAAGAUGCUUAGUUUUCUUUGGAACUCAGAAUUAGUUUAUUGAUGAGGGCAUCAAUAAUGAAUUUAGUUUUAUUUGCCUCUUAGAUAU